rnacentral:tRNA from 1 species
CCUAACAUAGGUCUAGUGUGUUAGGAUUACCUGGCUUUCACCCAGGCGGCCCGGGUUCGAUUCCCGGUGUAGGAA